AAAGCAUCUAAGCGUGAAACCAGCCUCAAGAUAAGAUAUCCCUAAAGAGAAAUCUGAGUAAGGCCCCUUGUAGACCACAAGGUUGAUAGGUCAGGUGUGUAAGCGCAGUAAUGUGUUCAGCUAACUGAUACUAAUAGGCCGAGGGCUUCAAUCAA
rnacentral:rRNA from 1 species